UAACUCCUACGGGAGGCAGCAGUGGGGAAUAUUGCACAAUGGGCGAAAGCCUGAUGCAGCGACGCCGCGUGAGUGAAGAAGUAUUUCGGUAUGUAAAGCUCUAUCAGCAGGGAAGAAAAUGACGGUACCUGACUAAGAAGCCCCGGCUAACUACGUGCCAGCAGCCGCGGUAAUACGUAGGGGGCAAGCGUUAUCCGGAAUUACUGGGUGUAAAGGGUGCGUAGGUGGCAUGGUAAGUCAGAAGUGAAAGCCCGGGGCUUAACCCCGGGACUGCUUUUGAAACUGUCAUGCUGGAGUGCAGGAGG
rnacentral:rRNA from 1 species